rnacentral:tRNA from 1 species
GUCUUUGUAGUAUAUAUAAAUACACUGGUCUUGUAAACCAGCAAAGGAGCUAACCCUCCCCAAGACU